AUUGAACGCUGGCGGAAUGCUUUACACAUGCAAGUCGAAUGGCAACACGGACUUCGGUCUGGUGGCGAGUGGCGAACGGGUGAGUAAUGUAUCGGAACGUGCCCAGUCGUGGGGGAUAACGUAGCGAAAAUUACGCUAAUACCGCAUACGAUCUAUGGAUGAAAGCGGGGGAUCGCAAGACCUCGCGCGAUUGGAGCGGCCGAUAUCAGAUUAGGUAGUUGGUGGGGUAAAGGCCCACCAAGCCAACGAUCUGUAGCUGGUCUGAGAGGACGACCAGCCACACUGGAACUGAGACACGGUCCAGACUCCUACGGGAGGCAGCAGUGGGGAAUUUUGGACAAUGGGCGAAAGCCUGAUCCAGCCAUUCCGCGUGCAGGAUGAAGGCCCUCGGGUUGUAAACUGCUUUUGUACAGAACGAAAAGGUUUCUACUAAUACUAGGAGCUCAUGACGGUACUGUAAGAAUAAGCACCGGCUAACUACGUGCCAGCCGCCGCCGUAA
rnacentral:rRNA from 1 species